rnacentral:rRNA from 1 species
UGCGCAGGUGGGCUUGUAAGUCAGUGGUGAAAUACUGCCGCUCAACGGUAGAACUGCCAUUGAUACUGCAUCUCUUGAGUAUGGUUGAGGUAGGCGGAAUGUGUUGUGUAGCGGUGAAAUGCAUAGAUAUGACACAGAACGCCAAUUGCGAAGGCAGCUUACUAAGCCAUUACUGACGCUGAGGCACGAAAGCGUGGGGAGCGAACAGGAUUAGAUACCCUGGUAGUCC